CCUACGGGAGGCAGCAGUCGAGAAUCAUUCACAAUGGGGGAAACCCUGAUGGUGCGACGCCGCGUGGGGGAAUGAAGGUCUUCGGAUUGUAAACCCCUGUCAUGUGGGAGCAAAUUAAAAAGAUAGUACCACAAGAGGAAGAGACGGCUAACUCUGUGCCAGCAGCCGCGGUAAUACAGAGGUCUCAAGCGUUGUUCGGAAUCACUGGGCGUAAAGCGUGCGUAGGCUGUUUCGUAAGUCGUGUGUGAAAGGCGCGGGCUCAACCCGCGGACGGCACAUGAUACUGCGAGACUAGAGUAAUGGAGGGGGAACCGGAAUUCUCGGUGGAGCAGUGAAAUGCGGAGAUAGCGAGAGGAACACUCGUGGCGAAGGCGGGUUCCUGGACAUUAACUGACGCUGAGGCACGAAGGCCAGGGGAGCGAAAGGGAUUAGAUACCCGAGUAGUC
rnacentral:rRNA from 1 species